rnacentral:rRNA from 1 species
UACAGAGGGGGCAAGCGUUGUUCGGAAUUACUGGGCGUAAAGGGCUCGUAGGUGGCCAACUAAGUCAGACGUGAAAUCCCUCGGCUUAACCGGGGAACUGCGUCUGAUACUGGAUGGCUUGAGAUUGGGAGAGGGAUGCGGAAUUCCAGGUGUAGCGGUGAGAUGCGUAGAUAUCUGGAGGAACACCGGUGGCGAAGGCGGCAUCCUGGACCAACACUGACACUGAGGAGCGAAAGCCAGGGGAGCAAACGGG